rnacentral:rRNA from 1 species
UACGAAGGGGGCUAGCGUUGCUCGGAAUCACUGGGCGUAAAGCGCACGUAGGCGGCUUUCUAAGUCAGGGGUGAAAUCCUGGAGCUCAACUCCAGAACUGCCUUUGAUACUGGAGAGCUUGAGUCCGGAAGAGGUGAGUGGAACUCCGAGUGUAGAGGUGAAAUUCGUAGAUAUCGGAAGGAACACCAGUGGCGAAGGCGGCGCGCUGGACCUCUUCUGACGCUGAGGCGCGAAAGCCAGGGGAGC